CGCUCGCUCAGGGUGCGGCAUUGUGCCCCGCUCCCUGAGCGAGGAGCGGAGCGACGAGACGAAGGGCGCUGCGCGGUCCCGCUCCCUGAGCGAGCGG
rnacentral:tRNA from 1 species